rnacentral:lncRNA from 1 species
UGACAGAUGGGAAAUAAUUUGAAACAUGAUCAUACGUAAAUGAAAAAAUAGAUUUUCAUUCCUAGGCGUCACAAUAGUUUUAGAAAUUCACCAGCUGAAGAAAGUUAAGAGAUGAGGAUGUCCCAAUAAUUUGGAUAAAGAGAUUGUCCUUGCUGUAUUUCUGAUGGUGCCAUUUGCACAUGGGUACAUAUAUCUGAAAGCUCAUCUGUAACCGUUGUAAAGACUUGCCUGAUUUGCGUUCUUAUUAACUUGGCUGACUGGAUUUCUUUGUAAACUGGGAAUUGGAUAGAUUUCUGAAGAAAUAGUUACAUGUUUUCAACUUUGUGUAAUUUGGAAAGGCGCUGCAAAGCAUAUGAUUAUCCUGUGUACAGCAAAAUGAAAGGCACAGAAAAAUACGAAAUGAAGUUAUGGAGCCCCACACCUAUUCGUCUCUUCCGUAUUGCAAAAGAGGAGAGUCCUGAGAAAGUCACAAAGCAAUGCUGCCUACUAUGUCUGGAUGGUUCCAUAUACCCAAACGCCGCAACUUUGAAUGUGUUUGCUUCGCGAGUUUGUAAGUCCAUGAUUUCUUUCUUUUGCAUCUUUUGCAUUUUCCCCUUUUAUUGUCAACAUUAUUGUGAAAAAUUCUGCUUAACUUUGUGCUUUUGAGAUGUAUGCUUUUUUCAAUCACCGUCAAAAUGUGAACAUGAUCUAGUUUGGUCAGCAGAAUCAUCUUUGAUAAUUGUAAUUAUUCCUUUACCAAUGAGCAGAUUUGGUGGUGUAGCUUCCAUCAGAGUGCAUUGGGUCAUGGCCCGCCAAACGGAAGAAGCGAC